rfam:Schistosoma rodhaini strain Burundi genome assembly, scaffold: SROB_scaffold0000709
AGCCUUUUGAAUAAGUGUCGAGAUUUCGUCAGGCACCAGACCAUCAGUACUGAUGAGACUCCUAAUACAAGUAAAGUG